rnacentral:rRNA from 1 species
AGAUUGAACGCUGGCGGCAUAGCCUUACACAUGCAAGUCGAACGGCAGCGCGGGAGCAAUCCUGGCGGCGAGUGGCGAACGGGUGAGUAAUACAUCGGAACGUGCCCAAUCGUGGGGGAUAACGCAGCGAAAGCUGUGCUAAUACCGCAUACGAUCU